rnacentral:rRNA from 1 species
AUACGGAGGGUGCAAGCGUUAUCCGGAUUUAUUGGGUUUAAAGGGUGCGCAGGCGGUAUAAUAAGUCAGUGGUGAAAACUUGCAGCUUAACUGUAAGACUGCCAUUGAAACUGUUGUACUUGAGUUAUCUUGAGGUAGGCGGAAUGUGUAGUGUAGCGGUGAAAUGCUUAGAUAUUACACAGAACACCGAUUGCGAAGGCAGCUUACUAAGGAUAAACUGACGCUCAGGCACGAAAGCGUGGGGAUC